CCUACGGGUGGCAGCAGUGGGGAAUAUUGCACAAUGGGGGAAACCCUGAUGCAGCAACGCCGCGUGGGUGAAGGAGCGUUUCGGCGCGUAAAGCUCUGUCAGCGGGGAAGAAGAAAGACGGUACCCGACCACGAAGCCCCGGCUAACUACGUGCCAGAAGCCGCGGGAAUACGUAGGGGGCGAGCGUUAUCCGGAAUUACUGGGGGUAAAGGGAGCGUAGACGGCGAGGUAAGCCCGAAGUGGAAGCACGCGGCGCAACCGGGGAACUGCUUUGGCGACUGGUAUGCUGGAGUGUGUGAAGGGUAAGCGGAAUUCCUGGUGUAGCGGUGAAAUGCGUAGAUAUCAGGAGGAACACCGGUGGCGAAGGCGGCUUACUGGACCAUAACUGACGUUGAGGCUCGAAAGCGUGGGGAGCGAACAGGAUUAGAUACCCCGGUAGUC
rnacentral:rRNA from 1 species